ACUGGGCAUGGUGCCACAUACCUGAAAUCCCAGGUACUAGAGAGAGUGGGGGAGGUGGGUUGUUUGAACUCGGGAGUUCUGAGCUGCAGUGGGCUGUGUGAUCUGAUAUCUGAAUUAAAUUCAGAAUUAUUAUGAUGAUGCCAUAGGAGUGGGGGACCACCAGGUUGUCUAAGGAGGAGCAAACCUCAUGCCCGUUGGAAGUGGAGGGGGUAAAAACUAUCAUACUGUUUAGUAGUGAGAUUGGGUCUGUUAGUAACCUCUGCAUUUCUAGCCUUGUCAGAGUUCUUUCUUUCUU
rnacentral:SRP_RNA from 1 species